GGAUGGAGACGAACUGAUUGAGUGAGU
rnacentral:sRNA from 1 species